AGAUAAUGGUCAUUUAAGAUUGUCUCUUUUUUUUCUUUAAGAUGUGUUAUAGGAGCAGAAAUAAUAUAAGAAUGUUAUUUUUCUCACUCCUGCUUUCCAGUCAUGAAGAUGGAAAGCAGUGUUCUGAAUAUGUUAGUAUAUUGUGAAAUUCUUCAUGAAAGGAACAAAAUAAACGAAAAGAAAGACAAGUGAAUUCAUCAAAAUGCGAGUCCAGCUGAUCAGAGGAGAAAGACAAUUAUUUGUAACGACCAGCAGCUGUGUCUCCUGCAGGUAGAACUUUUUUAAACUCCUCUUGAUCGAUUGUUUCUCAUCCGGUGUCUGGAAAGAUGGGAGCUCAAUCAUUUGUGGCCCUUUGGCUUUUGUCUAUUUUCCUCAGCAAUGGUUUCUGCUUACCAGUUGCAAGAGAUCAAAAUAAAGCUCCUGCAGAGGUCAAAAGACAAAAAGACUUUGCUUUAACAAACAGCCUUGGUGUUCUACAGUCAAUGGAUUCCAGGUUGCAAAAACUUGUAAAAGAGGUACAACUGGAAACCAAUGAGGUGGAGGCCUUGGCUAAAGUUGCUAAAAACAAACCUGGUUGGACUGUGUUGAGCAACCAGACUGUGUCCGACGCCGCCAGCAACCAGACUGUGUCCGACGCCGCCAGCAACCAGACUGUGUCCGACGCCGCCAGCACCAGACUGUGUCCGACGCCGCCAGCAACCAGACUGUGUCCGACGCCGCCAGCAACCAGACUGUGUCCGACGCCGCCAGCAACCAGACUGUGUCCGACGCCGCCAGCAACCAGACUGUGUCCGACGCCGCCAGCAACCAGACUGUGUUCGACGCCGCCAGCAACCAGACUGUGUCCGACGCCGCCAGCAACCAGACUGUGUCCGACGCCGCCAGCAACCAGACUGUGUCCGACGCCGCCAGCAACCAGACUGUGUCCGACGCCGCCAGCAACCAGACUGUGUCCGACGCCGCCAGCAAGACACUGUGUCCGACGCCGCCAGCAACCAGACUGUGUCCGACGCCGCAGCAACCAGACUGUGUCCGACGCCCGCCAGCAACCAGACUGUGUCCGACGCCGCCAGCAACCAGACUGUGUCCGACGCCGCCAGCAACCAGACUGUGUCCGACGCGCCAGCAACCAGACUGUGUCCGACGCCCGCAACCAGCACUGUGUCCGACGCCGCCAGCAACCAGACUGUGUCCGACGCCGCCAGCACCAGACUGUGUCCGACGCCGCCAGCAACCAGACUGUGUCCGACGCCGCCAGCAACCAGACUGUGUCCGACGCCGCCAGCAACCAGACUGUGUCCGAAUAAACAUUAUUUUGUUAGCUUUAAGGGUUUUGCUUGUCUUUUUGCCACUUCUGGGUAUCUUCCCCAAUUCCUUUGGUUACAUUUUAAAAUUUGAAUAGACUUAUCAAAUCAAAAGA
rnacentral:lncRNA from 1 species